rnacentral:rRNA from 1 species
AUUGAACGCUGGCGGCAGGCCUAACACAUGCAAGUCGAGCGGGGUUUUCGGACCUAGCGGCGGACGGGUGAGUAAUGCGUAGGAAGCUGCCCGAUAGAGGGGGAUACCAGUUGGAAACGACUGUUAAUACCGCAUAAUGUCUACGGACCAAAGUGUGGGACCUUCGGGCCACAUGCUAUCGGAUGCGCCUACGUGGGAUUAGCUAGUUGGUGGGGUAAUGGCUCACCAAGGCGACGAUCCCUAGCUGGUUUGAGAGGAUGAUCAGCCACACUGGAACUGAGACACGGUCCAGACUCCUACGGGAGGCAGCAGUGGGGAAUAUUGGACAAUGGGCGCAAGCCUGAUCCAGCCAUGCCGCGUGUGAAGAAGGCCUUCGGGUUGUAAAGCACUUUCAGUAGGGAGGAAGGGUGUUGUGUUAAUAGCACAGCAUUUUGACGUUACCUACAGAAGAAGCACCGGCUAACUCUGUGCCAGCAGCCGCGGUAAGAC